GCUGUUUUUCUGACAAGAGUUACUUAGUGUACAUCCUUGUUUACAAGAAAUCCUUGAUUCAGCUAUGCUAAUCAUUCCUUCCGCUGAGAUGUACUGGCAAUGGCCCUUGAUUCAACCUCGCCAGGUGUAACUGCCAGAUAGUCUACACAUUCUCCUCUAGAUGGACUCCACUCUGCUGUUCUACUUCUCCAAUUUCAGUGUGUUAUUUCUAGGUUUCAGAAGUGAAAGUCCCAAGACUCUGCAACCCCUCAGCUCCAAGAGGGAUGGCCUUUGGCUAAACCUUUGGUUAAGGUUCCCUGGUCAUAUUCUGAGAAAUAUUACUGGAUUCAUAUUGGGUUUAAGAAGAUGGCUGUCACCUUGCCUGUGGGGUUCUAACCACUUAAGGUGAGUUAAAGUAGAGAAGGAAAGUCCUAAGGAGAGCUGCAUCUCCAACAUGCACAGACUUAUUUAGAGCCUCUCUCUCUCUCUCUCUCUCUCUCUCUCUCUCUCUCUCUCUCUCUCUCCAUUUCCCCACAAUAUUUAGUCAAUUAUUAUUUUUAAUUGAAACAUAAUAAUUCUGUAUAUUUCUGGGGCAUGAUGUUUUAAUGAGUACUUAUUUAUGUUUCAUGUAUAUUUUUUCAUUUAUGCUUGUGCGCCGAGUACUUGCAGUUUUAGUGGAUACCAGAAAAGGAUAUUAAAUUCCCUGGAACUAGAGCCAGACAGAGAUGAUUCUGAGCUGCCAGGAAUGUUUUGCCUGCAUCUAUGCAUGUUUACCACAUGUGUGCCUGGUACCUGAGAAGGGAAGGAGAGAACACUGGAUAACCUGGACAUGACUGCAGUUGUGAACCUGAACCGUGGUCCUCUCCAAGAUCAGCAGAAGCUCUUAAUCACAACGUAGUUCCUCUCCAGUUCCUCACCUUCACUGUUAUAACAGUUACACUUGGUCAGUAUUCUGCCACAGUCCAAUAUAGUCUAUAAAGUACAUUUCCUAUGGGCUUA